AACGAACGCUGGCGGCGCGUCUUAACCAUGCAAGUCGAGCGGCAGGCAGCAAUGCCGAGAGCGGCGGACUGGUGAGUAACACGUGGAUAACGUACCCCGAUGUCCGGGACAGCCUGUAGAAAUAGAGGGUAAUACCGGAUAGAUCACUGUUUACGUGAGGUAGACAGCGGGAAAGGAGCUUCGGCUCCGCGACGGGAUCGGUCUGCGGCCCAUCAGCUGGACGGCGGGGUAAAGGCCCGCCGUGGCGAGGACGGGUAUCCGGCCUGAGAGGGCGGACGGACACAUUGGGACUGAGAUACGGCCCAGACUCCUACGGGAGGCAGCAGGUAAGAAUAUUCCGCAAUGGGGGGAACCCUGACGGAGCGACGCCGCGUGAACGAAGAAGGCCGGAAGAUUGUAAAGUUCUUUUCUGUCCGAGGAAUAAGUUUCAGAGGAAAUGCCGGGACGGUGACGGUAGGGCAGGAAUAAGCACCGGCUAAUUACGUG
rnacentral:rRNA from 1 species